UACGUAGGGUGCAAGCGUUGUCCGGAAUUAUUGGGCGUAAAGAGCUCGUAGGCGGUUUGUCGCGUCUGCUGUGAAAACUCGGGGCUCAACCCCGGGCCUGCAGUGGGUACGGGCAGACUAGAGUGCGGUAGGGGAGACUGGAAUUCCUGGGUGUAGCGGUGAAAUGCGCAGAUAUCGGGAGGAACACCGGUGGCGAAGGCGGUUCUCUGGGCCUGUACUGACGCUGAGGAGCGAAAGCGUGGGGAGCGAACAGG
rnacentral:rRNA from 1 species